AAAGUACUCCCUUCGUCCCAAAAUUCUUGCCUUAGAUUUGUCUAGAUACAGAUAUAUCAAGUCACAUUUUAGUAUUAGAUACAUCCGUAUCUAGACAAAUCUAAGACAAGAAAUUUGGGACAGAGGGAGUAGUUG
rfam:Triticum aestivum genome assembly, contig: Triticum_aestivum_CS42_TGACv1_scaffold_195574_3AL